AUUGAACGCUGGCGGAAUGCUUUACACAUGCAAGUCGAACGGCAGCACGGACUCCGGUCUGGUGGCGAGUGGCGAACGGGUGAGUAAUGUAUCGGAACGUGCCCAGUCGUGGGGGAUAACGUAGUGAAAAUUACGCUAAUACCGCAUACGAUCUAUGGAUGAAAGCGGGGGAUCGCAAGACCUCGCGCGAUUGGAGCGGCCGAUAUCAGAUUAGGUAGUUGGUGGGGUAAAGGCCCACCAAGCCAACGAUCUGUAGCUGGUCUGAGAGGACGACCAGCCACACUGGAACGGAGACACGGUCCAGACUCCUACGGGAGUCAGCAGUGGGGAAUUUUGGACAAUGGGCGAAAGCCUGAUCCAGCCAUUCCGCGUGCAGGAUGAAGGCCCUCGGGUUGUAAACUGCUUUUGUACAGAACGAAAAGGUUUCUACUAAUACUAGGAGCUCAUGACGGUACUGUAAGAAUAAGCACCGGCUAACUACGUGCCAGCAGCCGCCGUAA
rnacentral:rRNA from 1 species